rnacentral:rRNA from 1 species
AUACGGGGGGUGCAAGCGUUAAUCGGAAUUACUGGGCGUAAAGCGCGCGUAGGCGGUUUGCUCAGUCGUAUGUGAAAGCCCAGGGCUCAACCUUGGAACUGCAUACGAUACUGGCAAACUAGAGUGUGAGAGAGGAUAGUGGAAUUUCCGGUGUAGCGGUGAAAUGCGUAGAUAUCGGAAGGAACAUCAGUGGCGAAGGCGACUGUCUGGCUCAACACUGACGCUGAGGUGCGAAAGCGUGGGUAGCAAACAGGAUUAGAAACCCUAGUAGUCC